AAUUUUUCUUCUCCGUCUAGUUCAAUCGGCUGGUUAAAGAUAUCGCACAAGACUAGUUCAAUCGGCUGGGAUUCUUCUCCGUCUUGAUUAUUUGGUAAUUAAGAUCUAGGGUUUGUUUGUUCUGUUUGGUUUGAUUCGGCCCAAAACUAUUUAAUCGGCGGCUUGGUUUCUUCUUCCUCCUCAUGUAGCUUACCUCAAGGAGCUACUGGCAAAGGAAGGGUAUUUAAUAGUAUCAGUGCCGUACAAUGUUACAUUUGAUCAUGAACAAGCUUCUAAGCAGGUUUAUGAGAGGUUCAAUUCCUGCUUGGACACGAUUGUCUCAUAUGGAAUUCCAACUUCAAAUUUGAAGCCUCAAGAUCUAGCUGACCUUCCUCUUUUCUCAGUUGGUCACAGUAAUGGUGCACUGUUACAAGUUUUGACCGGAAGUUAUUUUGCUGAGAAGAUACCAAAGGUUAGGUUACUUGUGAGCUAAAAUUUUCAAUAUCAGUAAAAUCAGCAAAGAUUUGAUAACCAAGAUACCAAAGGUUAGUUACCUUUUUAUUUGUCUUAAUUCUAAGCAAGCGUGACAAAUAUGUUA